rnacentral:rRNA from 1 species
GGUCGCAAGAUUAAAACUCAAAGGAAUUGACGGGGACCCGCACAAGCGGUGGAUGAUGUGGAUUAAUUCGAUGCAACGCGAAAAACCUUACCUACCCUUGACAUGGAUGGAACCUCGGAGAGAUCUGGGGGUGCUCGAAAGAGAACCAUCACACAGGUGCUGCAUGGCUGUCGUCAGCUCGUGUCGUGAGAUGUUGGGUUAAGUCCCGCAACGAGCGCAACCCUUGUCAUUAGUUGCUACGCAAGAGCACUCUAA